AACGCACAUUGCGCCCCUUGGUAUUCCGGGGGGCAUGCCUGUUCGAGCGUCAUUUCAACCCUCAAGCUCUGCUUGGUCUUGGGCACUGCCGGUAACGGCUUGCCUUAAAACUAGUGGCGGUGCCAUUCGAGCUCUACGCGUAGUAAUUAAACCCUCGCGAUUGAGUCUUGGUGGAUGCUUGCCAGCAACCCUCAAUUUUUUAUGGUUGACCUCGGAUCAGGUAGGGAUACCCGCUGAACUUAA
rnacentral:misc_RNA from 1 species